rnacentral:lncRNA from 1 species
GAAAUAAAUCAGAGAAAGAAUAUGAUCACUCUAAUUCUUGAACUUUACUGGAUAUGUUCCUUUUGACAAGGAAGAUCUUUUUAUUUAAAGCCAAGUUUUGUUGUAACAUUGGAAUGAAGCAUUUGGAAAGAUCAUUCAGGCUUCAAACUUGAAGCAGAAAAAAAUCGGAGUUUUGCUGAUGUGUGCCACUUAAUUUUGUAGAGAAAGAAUUUCCCACAUGGCACUGUGAAAGAGUGCUUCUGGUCAUCGAAAAAGAGACAGGUGCUUAUUUGGCACAGGAUUUGAACACAGCCUUCUCGAAGGGAAUGGAUGAGCUGAUGUGCCAAGUGGUGAAAGGUGGAAAACAAUGCACCCAAGGGCUAUCUCAGCAAUUUGCACAGGCAUUGCCUUCAUUUGGAAAGCAGGGCUAUACAAAAGCAGACCAGCAGCCUGCAGAGCGCUGAAAUCUAAAAACA